UUACUAAAGCCUAGACUAUUUAUCAUUACAAUAAUCAUGUCAUUACAGUCCUAAACUGAUCUUUUUAUCUUGUCCAACGAUAUCCACCAAUCUUCUUACGGGUACCAUUUGCACCCUCUAAGCUAUGGAUACCAUUUGCACCCAGUUUAGUUAUCCUAUCCAAGGAAAACUAUGCCAGCUUUUCAACUAACAAAAUUUUACCUACACCCAUAUAUUACAUACACAAAUAUACAGAUCAUGUAAUGAGUUAAGGUUAAGGUUAUAGGGUUAGAUUUAACCCCAAGCCAAAGCCUAACACAUUUCAUGAUAUUUCUAUAGAUUUAUGAACAUAACAUAUCGAUAUAAACAAAAUUUUUAAGUCUGGCAAGGUUUUACUCGUCUGCCUAUAUUCUGGAUACUAACUGCGCGCUGCGUUUAUCCAUGCACAGACUCGAAGACACCUAAGCAGUACAUUUACACAAAGAGAAGAACAUUGGCACGAACAGACCUCAAAUAGCUGGUGGGUCUCAUUACGAGUUACUGGAGUGAAAAAAAUAAUGUUCACUGUUUUUUACUUUAUGUGGUAGUCUUGUAUUUGAAGCAAAUAAAUUGCUCCAGCAAUUGGCAACAUUUCUGACAUUGACCAUCGUCUGGAUUGUAACACUUACUGAAACCCACCAAUAACCGAACCGAGUGCAUGCAAAGAACCACGUGACCGGAAGCUCAAAUGUUAAUCUCUUAAGAUUGACUUUCGAUUGCAGAUGAUGUCGAAAUUCUGAUUAACUGACGUGAAAAUUGUACCUCAUUUUUUAUUAGCAUGCAAACAUCUGAAUAAAAGUCAACCUUGUGUGCAAAUGUACAACUAACGACAGACCGCCAGGUUUUUUAAACCGGUUUAUCCCAGAGACGUCACCGAACACAUGCAUAUUAGAGUCCUGGGUAACUACUGCCUAAUAGCAGGCUAACCCUUAAUUCACUACUGCCUGAUAACAAGCUAACUACUACUUGUUAUCAGACUAAUACUCUAACCUUGAGGCAGUCCUCUCGUUGCCGCGGUCAUGCAGCUUUCGUCAUCAAGGUACAUUGGUAGGUUAACCGUCGAUCGCGAGGUACAUUUUAUCCAAAAUGUUCACAAUAAUCCUGAAGUGUUCGUUGUAAUCCAUCAAUGUUCAUAAUAAUCCAUUAACGUUCACAGUAUCUAUCUCCAAUAGUUAACAGUAAUCCGUAUUUGUCCAUUGAUAUCCGCAACGACUCCCACGGGACCUCCCAUCCGACACCUCAAAUGACGUUUUGGUCAGUUUUCAAUUUUAUUGGUUAAAUUUUUUUAAUACCAUUAUAUAUCUGCGGCAACACAUUAACUAGUCAAAACCCAUGAAAUUCUUGAAAGAUUAAACCUCAAAGAACGUUUAUAUUAAAGAUAUUCAAGCCCAAAUCCCAAAGUCUGCAUCAAAAUGAUAACGGGAAAAUGCUGGGUAAAGCCAUACAGACAAACAGCCGGUCACAAAUCAAAGUUUGAUGGUACUUCGGCUUGAUCUUUCCAGGCCUACAGGCGAGCUGUCCCAAUCUCAUGCCACGAACAAAAAGCACUGAUGUAAGGUUGGCCAGACCUUGCACCUGUGCUAGUUGAUCACGACAAUCGAUCAGAGCAACUCGACUGUAGGUCGGGGAAAUCCGAGCCGAAGUACUACCGAACCUCGACGAAUGGCCGGCCAUUCAUCUGGAAUGAUUUUGCCUAGCAUUUAAACCAAAUACCAAAGUGAUGUAAAUUUCAAAAUUUCAUUUCAAAUAUCUUUCAAAUAAACAAACUUCCAGAUAGAACCUUCCGAAUUUCAAACAUUUCGAUUUCGUUAAGAGCUUUUCACAAAUACCAAGAAAAGUGAAACAUUUUAAUAAAUUGCGAAAUUAAGGAAAAGAUGCCACAUUUAAAUUUGUUUUGUGCAUUUGGACGUCCUCGGGAUGGUCCCCACGUACUUUCGAACACGACCAACGACAAUCCCGAGAAAAUAUACCUUCUGUAAUGUACAGCAUCUUUCACGCCUAUUUCGUAGGCUGGUAUAGGUAGACAAUUCCUCAUGCCAAUCUUGGAAACGAUGGUACGGUGUCGCGUCCUGGCUGACAGAGCGAAAUCUGAUGAUGAGUGUAUCUUAUUAAGUUUUACUGUCUCUUCCAAACUUGGGACAAACGAAAUGCGACGAUGAAUGCUGUGGGUUAGCUGAUGAUGGUCUUCAUUCAGCAUUUGCUUUCCCGUCUUCUCGUUUUGCUUCGACUGCUAGGCGAACGUCUUUUCAAAUCUGCGCAGAGGUCUUUCUGUACUGUUUGGCGUCAAAAGAAUCGAACUUGAGGCAAUC
rnacentral:lncRNA from 1 species